AAGACUUGUACUCUAUAAAUUCUUCCCCAUCCCCAUCUUUUUCUAGGUUAAGCCAUGCAUCUCCCCACCUUGUAAAAAUAAAAUAAAAAAAGACAAAUCCCCGGUCAGGUCCGCUCUAGAGAGCAAUAAACCUCUUUCCUCCUUGACAUUGUUCUUUUAUAAACACCAGGUAAACUCGACUAGAAGAUAAAUAAUUGAGCCAUUGCGUUUACUGGAUUGUGGUGUUGCUUAAUUGCAUGGGACAGAAUGAACCAAUCAAGAGUGGGAGUUUUCUGUCUCAGAGCCAAGAUCUUGGGUAAAUGCAGAAUAGAGGGAAACAAAGACAGGCUGGCCUUGGCCAAGCCCGGUGUGCCAACUUUACCUGUUGAGGGGUGUGGUUGCACUUAAAUUAGCAAAAUUCAAACUCUCACCCAAGUUGCUUUUUUCACAUUUAGUACAUAUCACUCUGUAAUAUUAAGUGUGUGGUGUUGGCGAAACCAGUGGUUAGUCUUUUUUUUUUUUUAAACUUCUUUAAAAAUUUAACUUUAUUUUUAAUGGUAUUGGGAUUGAACCCUGGCCUUCACAUGUUAGGCAAGCACUCUACCACUGGGCUACAUCCCCAUCCAUUUAUUUUAUUUUGAGACAUGGUUUUGCUAAGUUGCCCAGGCUGUCC
rnacentral:lncRNA from 1 species